rnacentral:rRNA from 1 species
UACGAAGGGGGCGAGCGUUGUUCGGAUUUACUGGGCGUAAAGGGCGCGCAGGCGGCUCCAAAAGUCAGGCGUGAAAGCCCCGGGCUUAACCUGGGAGGUGCGUCUGGAACUGUGGGGCUAGAGUUCGGGAGAGGAGCGUGGAAUUCCCAGUGUAGAGGUGAAAUGCGCAGAUACCGGGAGGAACACCGGUGGCGAAGGCGGUUCUCUGGGCCUGUACUGACGCUGAGGAGCGAAAGCGUGGGGAGCGAACAGG